CAAUCCUACGCCCGUUUGCUGGGAAGUCCCACUGCGUUCAAUGGGCCGCAUCUUAAAUACAGCUCUAUAGAGAGCCAAAACUUAGACGCGGUUUCUUGGGAGCAAGCUCCACAGAAUAUCUACGACCGGCUUCCAAAAAAACAAAAAAACAAACCCACCAGAUCUAUGCUGAGAAAGUUGGUAAGAGAACUUAUUUUGUUCCCUUAACAAAGAUGGCUCCAGCCUCUACAAGCGUCUGCCCUCCCUUUCCUGUGGAGCUGUUCACGUCACGUCAUUUCUGGAGACUCCCGUUGAGGCUGUAACUAGGAGAAAUACAAAGAGGGAUGGCGCCCGUGAACCGGAGGACUCUGGAGUGGAUCUACUCGCUGAUUCUACUCACCACUGUAUUGCUUUCAUGGGGAUAUGUCAUUUAUGCAGCACGUAUAGCAGCCAAAUGGAAGCUGAAAGAAGACUAUCCCACAGAAACACAGAACCUUUGAGACAGACCAAACCAAAAAGCUAUCCAUAUCUGCACAGAAGUGUGAACACAUUCAAGUUUGUUCCAGUCACAGGAAUAGCCAGUUUUUUUAAAAAAAUCAGUAACUCCAGAUUCACAGAGCCAUGAUUGUAAACACUGAAUUGUCAGAAAAUACAAAUGGGCGGAACAACACAAGAAUUUGAAAAGUCUCAGCCCUGUCAAUGAAGCUGAGAGGAGUACUUCAAAUAAACUUUGGCUGCAAAGAAAGCUUCCAAAUGUUUGCAUCUCUUUGACAUCAUUGAUUAUAUUCAUAAAAGUUCAGAAGAAUGAGGUCUGAGGUUAGCAUUUUUAAAAAGCUACUAAAAAAUCUCUACCAGUCCUGUGCAUCUAGAACUGUGGGUAAAGUGAGUCAUAUGGAGAAAUCACUCAUUAAUCCCAUGUGUAAAAAGAAUUGUGCAGGUUUUUUUUACUGUUAAAGCAAUAAACUACUAAUUGAACUAUG